rnacentral:tRNA from 1 species
AGGUAGUUAGUCCAACAAAAGACCUCUGAUUUCGGCUCAGAAAAACAUGGUUUGAUCCCAUGACCACCUU